rnacentral:rRNA from 22 species
CAUUACCGAGUUUACAACUCCCAAACCCCUGUGAACAUACCACUUGUUGCCUCGGCGGAUCAGCCCGCUCCCGGUAAAACGGGACGGCCCGCCAGAGGACCCCUAAACUCUGUUUCUAUAUGUAACUUCUGAGUAAAACCAUAAAUAAAUCAAAACUUUCAACAACGGAUCUCUUGGUUCUGGCAUCGAUGAAGAACGCAGCAAAAUGCGAUAAGUAAUGUGAAUUGCAGAAUUCAGUGAAUCAUCGAAUCUUUGAACGCACAUUGCGCCCGCCAGUAUUCUGGCGGGCAUGCCUGUUCGAGCGUCAUUUCAACCCUCAAGCACAGCUUGGUGUUGGGACUCGCGUUAAUUCGCGUUCCCCAAAUUGAUUGGCGGUCACGUCGAGCUUCCAUAGCGUAGUAGUAAAACCCUCGUUACUGGUAAUCGUCGCGGCCACGCCGUUAAACCCCAACUUCUGAAUGUUGACCUCGGAUCAGGUAGGAAUACCCGC